CAGGACGAACGCUGGCGGCACGCCUAACACAUGCAAGUCGAACGGAGAAUACUUAGCUUGCUUUGUAUUCUUAGUGGCGGACGGGUGAGUAACACGUGAGCAACCUGCCUCUGAGAGAGGGAUAGCUUCUGGAAACGGAUGGUAAUACCUCAUAACAUUACAUGACCGCAUGAUCGUGUAAUCAAAGGUUUAUCACUCAGAGAUGGGCUCGCGUCUGAUUAGCUAGUUGGUGAGGUAACGGCUCACCAAGGCGACGAUCAGUAGCCGGACUGAGAGGUUGAACGGCCACAUUGGGACUGAGACACGGCCCAGACUCCUACGGGAGGCAGCAGUGAGGGAUAUUGCACAAUGGGGGAAACCCUGAAUGCAGCGAUGCCGCGUGGAGGAAGAAGGUUUUCGGAUUGUAAACUCCUGUUUCGAGGGACGAUAAUGACGGUACCUCGGGAGGAAGCUCCGGCUAACUACGUGCCAGCAGCCGC
rnacentral:rRNA from 1 species